CAGCAGCCACGGUAAUACGUAGGGUGCAAGCGUUAAUCGGAAUUACUGGGCGUAAAGCGUGCGCAGGCGGUUAUAUAAGACAGAUGUGAAAUCCCCGGGCUCAACCUGGGAACUGCAUUUGUGACUGUAUAGCUAGAGUACGGCAGAGGGGGAUGGAAUUCCGCGUGUAGCAGUGAAAUGCGUAGAUAUGCGGAGGAACACCGAUGGCGAAGGCAAUCCCCUGGGCCUGUACUGACGCUCAUGCACGAAAGCGUGGGGAGCAAACAGGAUUAGAGACCCGCGUAGUCCCUGUCUCUUAUAC
rnacentral:rRNA from 1 species